UGGGGAAUAUUGGCACAAUGGGCGAAAGCCUGAUGCAGCAACGCCGCGUGAGUGAUGAAGGCCUUCGGGUUGUAAAGCUCUGUCUUUUGGGACGAUAAUGACGGUACCAAAGGAGGAAGCCACGGCUAACUACGUGCCAGCAGCCGCGGUAAUACGUAGGUGGCAAGCGUUGUCCGGAUUUACUGGGCGUAAAGGAUGCGUAGGCGGAUUUUUAAGUGAGAUGUGAAAACCCUAAGCUUAACUUGGGGGACUGCAUUUCAUACUGGAAAUCUAGAGUGCGGGAGAGGANAAUGGAAUUCCUAGUGUAGCGGUGAAAUGCGUAGAGAUUAGGAAGAACACCAGUGGCGAAGGCGAUUUCUCUGGGACCGUAACUGACGCUGAGGCAUGAAAGCGUGGGUAGCAAACAGGAUUAGAUACCCUGGUAGUCCACGCCGUAAACGAUGAGUACUAGGUGUA
rnacentral:rRNA from 1 species